GAUGAACGCUGGCGGCGUGCUUAACACAUGCAAGUCGAACGGACUUUGAAUGAAGCCUAGCGAUUUUAAAGUUAGUGGCGGACGGGUUAGUAACGCGUGGGUCACCUGCCGUAUACAGGGGGAUAACACUUAGAAAUAGGUGCUAAUACCGCAUAAGCGCACAGCUUUGCAUGAAGCAGUGUGAAAAACUCCGGUGGUAUACGAGGGACCCGCGUCUGAUUAGCUAGUUGGUGAGGUAACGGCCCACCAAGGCGACGAUCAGUAGCCGGCCUGAGAGGGUGAACGGCCACAUUGGGACUGAGACACGGCCCAAACUCCUACGGGAGGCAGCAGUGGGGAAUAUUGCACAAUGGGGGAAACCCUGAUGCAGCGACGCCGCGUGAGUGAAGAAGUAUUUCGGUAUGUAAAGCUCUAUCAGCAGGGAAGAAAAUGACGGUACCUGACUAAGAAGCUCCGGCUAAAUACGUGCCAGCCGCCGCCGUAAUAC
rnacentral:rRNA from 1 species